AUUGAACGCUGGCGGCAUGCCUAACACAUGCAAGUCGAACGAGUGGCGGACGGGUGAGUAAUGUCUGGGAACCUGCCCGAUGGCGGGGGAUAACUACUGGAAACGGUAGCUAAUACCGCAUACCAUCAGAUGUGCCCAUAUGGGAUUAGCUAGUUGGUGGGGUAACGGCUCACCAAGGCAACGAUCCCUAGCUGGUCUGAGAGGAUGACCAGCCACACUGGGACUGAGACACGGUCCAGACUCCUACGGGAGGCAGCAGUGGGGAAUAUUGGACAAUGGGGGCAAGCCUGAUGCAGCCAUGCCGCGUGUAUGAAGAAGGCCUUCGGGUUGUAAAGUACUUUCAGCGGGGAGGCGGUACCCGCAGAAGAAGCACCGGCUAACUACGUGCCAGCAGCCGCGGUAAUAC
rnacentral:rRNA from 1 species